GACGAACGCUGGCGGCGUGCUUAACACAUGCAAGUCGAACGGAAAGGCCCUGCUUUUGUGGGGUGCUCGAGUGGCGAACGGGUGAGUAACACGUGAGUAACCUGCCCUUGACUUUGGGAUAACUUCAGGAAACUGGGGGUAAUACCGGAUAGGAGCUCCUGCUGCAUGGGGGGGGUUGGAAAGUUUCGGCGGUUGGGGAUGGACUCGCGGCUUAUCAGCUUGUUGGUGGGGUGGUGGCUUACCAAGGCUUUGACGGGUAGCCGGCCUGAGAGGGUGACCGGCCACAUUGGGACUGAGAUACGGCCCAGACUCCUACGGGAGGCAGCAGUGGGGAAUAUUGCACAAUGGGCGGAAGCCUGAUGCAGCAACGCCGCGUGCGGGAUGACGGCCUUCGGGUUGUAAACCGCUUUCGCCUGUGACGAAGCGUGAGUGACGGUAAUGGGUAAAGAAGCACCGGCUAACUACGUG
rnacentral:rRNA from 1 species